GAUGAAGAACGUAGCGAAAUGCGAUAAGUAAUGUGAAUUGCAGAAUUCAGUGAAUCAUCGAAUCUUUGAACGCACCUUGCACCCUUUGGCAUUCCGAAGGGUAUGCUCGUUUGAGUGUCAUUGUACUCUCACACUUCUGAUCCUUUGGAUUGGGAGCGGUGGACUUGGGUGUUGCUGCUUUACUGUGGCUCACCUCAAAUGCAUUAGUGCAACUCUUGGUUGGACAUAGUACGGCGUGAUAAGUAUCUUCGCCGGCACCUCGCAAGAGGGUGGCUGAUCAGGAGCUCUGUGCUUUCCAACUGUCUUCAGACAACAACUGACAACUUGACCUCAAAUCGAGUAGGACCACCCGCUGAACUUAAGCAUAUCAAUAAGCGGUGGA
rnacentral:misc_RNA from 1 species